AGAGUUUGAUCAUGGCUCAGAACGAACGCUGGCGGCAGGCCUAACACAUGCAAGUCGAGCGCUGUAGCAAUACAGAGCGGCGCACGGGUGAGUAACACGUGGGAACGUGCCCUUUGGUUCGGAAUAACUCAGGGAAACUUGAGCUAAUACCGGAUGAGCCCUAACGGGGAAAGAUUUAUCGCCGAAGGAGCGGCCCACGUCGGAUUAGCUAGUUGGUGGGGUAAAAGCCCACCAAGGCUACGAUCCGUAGCUGGUUUGAGAGAACGACCAGCCACACUGGGACUGAGACACGGCCCAGACUCCUACGGGAGGCAGCAGUGGGGAAUCUUGGACAAUGGGGGAAACCCUGAUCCAGCCAUGCCGCGUGAGUGAUGAAGGCCCUAGGGUUGUAAAACUCUUUCGGCGGGGACGAUAAUGACGGUACCCGCAGAAGAAGCUCCGGCUAACUUCGUGCCAGCAGCCGCGGUAAUACGAAGGGGGCUAGCGUUGUUCGGAAUUACUGGGCGUAAAGCGCGCGCAGGCGGUUCUUCAAGUCAGAGGUGAAAGCCCAGGGCUCAACCCUGGAAUGGCCUUUGAGACUAGAGGACUUGGGUACGGGAGAGGUGAGUGGAAUUCCGAGUGUAGAGGUGAAAUUCGUAGAUAUUCGGAAGAACACCAGUGGCGAAGGCGGCUCACUGGCCCGUUACCGACGCUCAGGCGCGACAGCGUGGGGAGCAAACAGGAUUAGAUACCCUAGUAGUCC
rnacentral:rRNA from 1 species